GAUGAACGCUGGCGGCGUGCCUAAUACAUGCAAGUCGAGCGAACGGACGAGAAGCUUGCUUCUCUGAUGUUAGCGGCGGACGGGUGAGUAACACGUGGAUAACCUACCUAUAAGACUGGGAUAACUUCGGGAAACCGGAGCUAAUACCGGAUAAUAUUUUGAACCGCAUGGUUCAAAAGUGAAAGACGGUCUUGCUGUCACUUAUAGAUGGAUCCGCGCUGCAUUAGCUAGUUGGUAAGGUAACGGCUUACCAAGGCAACGAUGCAUAGCCGACCUGAGAGGGUGAUAGGCCACCCUGGAAGUGGAACACGGUCCAGACUCCUACGGGAGGCAGCAGUAGGGAAUGUGCCGCAAUGGGCGAAAGCCUGACGGAGCAACGCCGCGUGAGUGAUGAAGGUCUUCGGAUCGUAAAACUCUGUUAUUAGGGAAGAACAUAUGUGUAAGGAACUGUGCACAUCUUGACGGUACCUAAUCAGAAAGCCACGGCUAACUACGUG
rnacentral:rRNA from 1 species